UUCAACGUGACCUUCGGUGAGUUCUUAGCA
rnacentral:piRNA from 1 species